rnacentral:sRNA from 1 species
AGAUCUCGCGCGUCGUGUGGGUGAGAAGUUGCGUUCUGGUUCGAGCCGAGCGAAGCGAGACGACAACGCGAACGCGUUGCCCGCAGGGUGAGGCCAAAGGCCGAAUCAAUCCCGCACGACCCACCA